rnacentral:rRNA from 1 species
GAUCAUGGCUCAGGAUGAACGCUGGCGGCGUGCCUAACACAUGCAAGUCGAACGGACUUACAUUGAAGCCUAGUCGAUAUGUAAGUUAGUGGCGGACGGGUGAGUAACGCGUGGGUAACCUGCCUUGUACUGGGGGACGAACAGUUGGAAACGACUGCUAAUACCGCAUAAGCGCACAGCUUCGGCAUGAAGCAGUGUGAAAAACUCCGGUGGUACCAAGAUGGACCCGCGUCUGAUUAG